GCUGGGAUGGCCGAGUGGUCUAAGGCGCUAGACUCAAGCGGCGAAUUCGCUCUGCCCGCGAUGGCUGGGUAUUCUAGUGGGCGUAUGCCCGCGUGGGUUCGAAUCCCACUCCCAGCA
rnacentral:tRNA from 1 species